rnacentral:rRNA from 1 species
UACAGAGGUCUCAAGCGUUGUUCGGAUUCAUUGGGCGUAAAGCGCACGUAGGCGGCAUUGCAAGUCGGAUGUGAAAUCCCUCGGCUUAACCAAGGAAGUGCAUCCGAAACUGCAGUGCUUGAGUACUUAAGAGGAUCGCGGAAUUCCCGGUGUAGAGGUGAAAUUCGUAGAUAUCGGGAGGAACACCAGUGGCGAAGGCGGCGAUCUGGGAAGAUACUGACGCUGAGGUGCGAAAGCGUGGGGAGCGAACAGG